rnacentral:rRNA from 1 species
UUCCGGUUGAUCCUGCCGGACCCGACUGCUAUUUGGGUGAGAAUAAGCCAUGCGAGUCGAAUGGGAUACCUAAAAUUCCCAUGGCAAACUGCUCAGUAACACGUGAUCAACUUACCCUAUAGAGAAAAAUAACCUCGGGAAACUGAGGACAAUAUUUCAUAGUUGAAUCGGCUUGGAAAAGUUUUUCAAUUAAAGGGAUAAGAAAAAUGGUUCUUAUUCGCUAUAGGAUAGGAUCGUGGACGAUUAUGGUUGUUGGUGAGGUAACGGCUCACCAAGCCGAUAAUCGAUAGGGGCCGUGAGAGCGGGAGCCCCGAGAUGGGUACUGAGACAACGACCCAGGCCUUACGAGGCGCAGCAGGCGCGGAACCUCCGCAAUACACGAAAGUGUGACGGGGUUACCCAAAGUGUUCAUUAUUGAACUGUGGUAGGUGAGUAAUGUCCCCUACUAGAAAGGAGAGGGCAAGGCUGGUGCCAGCCGCCGCGGUAAAACCAGCUCUUCAAGUGGUCGGGAUAAUUAUUGGGCUUAAAGUGUCCGUAGCCGGUUUAGUAAGUUCCUGGUAAAAUCGGGUAGCUUAACUAUCUGUAUGCUAGGAAUACUGCUAUACUAGAGGACGGGAGAGGUCUGAGGUACUACAGGGGUAGGGGUGAAAUCUUAUAAUCCUUGUAGGACCACCAGUGGCGAAGGCGUCAGACUGGAACGUGCCUGACGGUGAGGGACGAAAGCCAGGGGAGCGAACCGGAUUAGAUACCCGGGUAGUCCUGGCCGUAAACGAUGCAUACUANGUGAUGGUACGGCCAUGAGCCGUAUCAGUGCCGUAGGGAAACCGUUAAGUGUGCCGCCUGGAAGUACGGUCGCAAGGCUAAAACUUAAAGGAAUUGGCGGGGGAGCACCACAAGGGUGAAGCCUGCGGUUCAAUUGGAUUCAACGCCGGAAAUCACUAGUGCGGCCG